UAGGGAAUAUUGGACAAUGGGGGCAACCCUGAUCCAGCCAUGCCGCGUGAGUGAUGAAGGCCUUCGGGUUGUAAAGCUCUUUCGGUGGGGACGAUGAUGACGGUACCCACAGAAGAAGCCCCGGCUAACUUCGUGCCAGCAGCCGCGGUAAUACGAAGGGGGCAAGCGUUGUUCGGAUUUACUGGGCGUAAAGCGCACGCAGGCGGCGAUAUAAGUCAGAGGUGAAAUCCCUGGGCUCAACCUGGGAAUUGCCUUUGCUACUGUAUUGCUGGAGUCCAGGAGAGGGUGGCGGAAUACCCAGUGUAGAGGUGAAAUUCGUAGAUAUUGGGUAGAACACCGGUGGCGAAGGCGGCCACCUGGCCUGGAACUGACGCUCAUGUGCGAAAGCGUGGGGAGCAAACA
rnacentral:rRNA from 1 species